GACCAACUGAAAGUUUCUUCCAAACCAUGGAAAACUAGUAAAUUAUAUUAUGUUUUCUGUCAAGAAUUUCAAAAAAGAAACAAAUAAAAUAAAAUCUAUCUUCUAAAAAUUCUCUCUCAAGGGGGGUGACAUGAAUAUUCGGUUAAAAAAGGGAACUAACUGAAGUAUUUACAACAAUAUGCUUAAGAGGGUGAUCAACAUCACCCCCACCUGCA
rnacentral:misc_RNA from 1 species